AAACCGAGGGGGCGGAGCACGGUAAAAAGCUUCGGGGCCUUCGCUUCGCGCGGGGGCCUCGCGGUCGUGGGUUCGCCUUCGAAUUUGCAAUGAACUACCGGCUCGGGGGGGGUCGUCGGCGGGGGGUAAAACCCUCUCGGCGCGCCUUCUCCUUGUCGGAUUGCAGAGUUUUACUUUGAAUAAAUUAGGGUGUUCAAAGCAGACGAAUACGUCUUGAAUAGAUUAGCAUGGGAUAAUGAAAUAAGACCUUUUUCGGCUUACGUUUGCUGGUUUCUGAGGCCGAGGUAAUGAUUAAUAGGGACGGUCGGGGUCGCUCGUACUCGGUGGUGAGAGGUGAAAUUCUAAGACCCAUCGAAGACGAACAAGUGCGAAGGCAUUCGACAAGGAUGUUUUCUUUAAUCAAGAACGAAAGUUAUGGGAUCGAAGAUGAUCAGAUACCGUCGUAGUCAUAACCGUAAACUAUUUUGACUCGGGAUCGGGGGAUGUUACAUGGAUGACUCUCCCGGCACCGUGUGCGAAAGCACAAGUAUUCGAACUCCGGGGGGAGUAUGGUCGCAAGGCUGAAACUUAAAGGAAUUGACGGAAGGGCACCACCAGGUGUGGAAUCUGCGGCUUAAUUUGACCCAACACGGGGAAACUUACCCAGUCCGGACGCGAUGAGGAUUGACAGAUUGAUAGUUCUUUCUUGAUUUUGUGGAAGCCGGUGCAUGGCCGUUUUUAGUUGGUGGAGUGAUUUGUCUGGUUAAGUCCGAUAACGAACGAGACCUAAAUUUAUUAAAUAGUGGUGCGAACAAGGGGGCUUUCGCGGCGGGUUCGGGUUCGCCCGGGCCCGUCGGGGCCUCCGUAAAUUUGUUCGUAGCUUUUUGUACUUCUUAGAGAGACACUUGGUCGAUAACAGCAGCCAAUGGAAGUUUUAGGCAAAAACAGGUCUGUGAUGCCGCUAGAUGUCUGGGGCUGCACGCGCGUUACACUGACGUGUUCAACGAGUAUUUAAGAACGACCUGGCCCGAAGGGGUUUGGGCAAUCUAAAAAUGCACGUCGUGAUGGGGAUUGUGCUUUGUAACUAUCGCACAUGAACGAGGAAUACCUAGUAAGGGCAGGUCAUCAACCUGUCCUGAUUACGUCCCUGCCCUUUGUACACACCGCCCGUCGCUUCUACCGAUUGAAUUACUCGAUGAGGACUCGGGAGGUGGGGCUUGAUCCGGUUCCGCCGGUGAUGCUCUGCCGAACCUGUUCGAAUCUCGUAGUUUAGAGGAAGAAGAAGUCGUAACAAGGUCUCUGUAGGUGAACCUUCAGAGG
rnacentral:rRNA from 1 species